rnacentral:rRNA from 1 species
GAUGAACGCUGGCGGCGUGCCUAAUACAUGCAAGUCGAGCGAACAGACGAGGAGCUUGCUCCUCUGACGUUAGCGGCGGACGGGUGAGUAACACGUGGAUAACCUACCUAUAAGACUGGGAUAACUUCGGGAAACCGGAGCUAAUACCGGAUAAUAUAUUGAACCGCAUGGUUCAAUAGUGAAAGACGGUUUUGCUGUCACGUAUAGAUGUAUCCGCGCCGCAUUAUCUAGUUGGUAAGGUAACGGCUUACCAAGGCAACGCUGCGUAGCCGACCUGAGAGGGUGAUCGGCCACACUGGAACGGAGCCACGGUCCAGACUCCUACGGGAGGCAGCAGUGGGGAAUCUUCCACAAUGGGAGAAAGCCUGACGGAGCAACGCCGCGUGAGUGAUGAAGGUCUUCGGAUCGUAGAACUCUGUUAUUAGGGAAUAACAAAUGUGUAAGUAACUAUGCACGUCUUGACGGUACCUAAUCAGAAAGCCACGGCUAACUACGUG